rnacentral:lncRNA from 1 species
UGGGAGAUGAUGAUUUUUUGGGACCGGGGAAUCUAAGGUGUGCAGAGAAUAUAGCUGCACCAGUAUACUGAAACCGUCCUUUUAGGGCGAGACCUGAUCACCAAGCUUUUCAAUUUGAGCUUAAUGAUAAGGAGGAUGGAAUUUAUGGAGCUGGUACUAUUGGAACUAUUAUUGCUCCACUGCUAGCACCAGGAGAAAUGUUCAAUACUACCA